rnacentral:rRNA from 1 species
AGUGAACGCUGGCGGUAGGCCUAACACAUGCAAGUCGAACGGCAGCACAGGAGAGCUUGCUCUCUGGGUGGCGAGUGGCGGACGGGUGAGGAAUACAUCGGAAUCUACUCUGUCGUGGGGGAUAACGUAGGGAAACUUACGCUAAUACCGCAUACGACCUACGGGUGAAAGCAGGGGACCUUCGGGCCUUGCGCGAUUGAAUGAGCCGAUGUCGGAUUAGCUAGUUGGCGGGGUAAAGGCCCACCAAGGCGACGAUCCGUAGCUGGUCUGAGAGGAUGAGCAGCCACACUGGAACUGAGCCACGGUCCAGACUCCUACGGGAGGCAGCAGUGGGGAAUAUUGGAAAAUGGGCGCAAGCCUGAUCCAGCCAUACCGCGUGGGUGAAGAAGGCCUUCGGGUUGUAAAGCCCUUUUGUUGGGAAAGAAAUCCAGCUGGCUAAUACCCGGUUGGGAUGACGGUACCCAAAGAAUAAGCACCGGCUAACUUCGUGCCAGCCGCCGCCGUAA